UUCCACUAAAACCUCGGUGACUGCAUGAUUAUCCCUUUUGACCAUCCGCCUGUCCAGGAUCUUGGUUGGCACUUUCAGUAGAGUGCCUUCAGAGCCGACUAAGGGUAGUAAUGGAGAAUGAGGUGCUCGACCAAUAUGUUUUUUCAGUUGUGACACGUGGAAGGUAGGGUGAAUUCUUGAGCCAACAGGUAAGGAUAGCCUAUAGGCAAUUCGUCCCACUUUAGCUUCAAC
rnacentral:lncRNA from 1 species